GACGAACGCUGGCGGCGUGCCUAAUACAUGCAAGUAGAACGCACAGUUUAUACCGUAGCUUGCUACACCAUAAACUGUGAGUUGCGAACGGGUUAGUAACGCGUAGGUAACCUGCCUGGUAGCGUGGGAUAACUAUUGGAAACGAUAGCUAAUACCUCAUAAUAUUAAUUAUUGCAUGAUAAUUUAUUGAAAGAUGCAAUUGCAUCACUACCAGAUGGACUUGCGUUGUAUUAGCUAGUAGGUGAGGUAACGGCGCACCUAGGCGACGCUACAUUGCCGACCUGAGAGGGUGAUCAGCCACACUGGGACGGCGACACGGCCCAGACUCCUACGGGAGGCAGCCGUAGGGAAUCUUCGGCAAUGGACGGAAGUCUGUCCGAGCAACGCCGCGUGAGUGAGGAAGGUUUUCGGAUCGUAAAGCUCUGUUGUAAGAGAAGAACGGGUGUGAGAGUGGAAAGUUCACACUGUGACGGUAUCUUACCAGAAAGGGACGGCUAACUACGUG
rnacentral:rRNA from 1 species